ACGGCUCAGUAACACGUCGGUAACCUACCCUCGGGAGGGGGAUAACCCCGGGAAACUGGGGCUAAUUCCCCAUAGGCCUGAGGUACUGGAAGGUCCUCAGGCCGAAAGGGACUUAUGUCCGCCCGAGGAUGGGCCGGCGGCCGAUUAGGUAGUUGGUGGGGUAAUGGCCCACCAAGCCGAAGAUCGGUACGGGCUGUGAGAGCAGGAGCCCGGAGAUGGACACUGAGACACGGGCCCAGGCCCUACGGGGCGCAGCAGGCGCGAAACCUCCGCAAUGCAGGAAACCGCGACGGGGGGACCCCGAGUGCCGUGGCAACGCCACGGCUUUUCCGGAGUGUAAAAAGCUCCGGGAAUAAGGGCUGGGCAAGGCCGGUGGCAGCCGCCGCGGUAAUACCGGCGGCCCGAGUGGUGGCCGCUAUUAUUGGGCCUAAAGCGUCCGUAGCCGGGCCCGUAAGUCCCUGGCGAAAUCCCACGGCUCAACCGUGGGGCUUGCUGGGGAUACUGCGGGUCUUGGGACCGGGAGAGGCGGGGGGUACCCCUGGGGUAGGGGUGAAAUCCUAUAAUCCCAGGGGGACCGCCAGUGGCGAAGGCGCCCCGCUGGAACGGGUCCGACGGUGAGGGACGAAGGCCAGGGGAGCAAACCGGAUUAGAUACCCGGGUAGUCCUGGCUGUAAAGGAUGCGGGCUAGGUGUCGGGUGAGCCUCGAGCUCGCCCGGUGCCGUAGGGAAGCCGUUAAGCCCGCCGCCUGGGGAGUACGGCCGCAAGGCUGAAACUUAAAGGAAUUGGCGGGGGAG
rnacentral:rRNA from 1 species